rnacentral:lncRNA from 1 species
CUCCUUGAUGAAAGUGUAGAGCAGGGAGAACGACGUCAUCCUUUAGACAGAAUACCAAAUAGGACCAGCCCAUACCCUCUUUGUUUUGCUUGAUUGAUUUCAGGUCUGUCAAACUGAACAGGAAUGACCAUUUGCUUUUCCCAUUUCUAUGACUUGGAGCAUCUCCAUUGGUAUGUGGUUUCCUUUUAAAUGAAACUGUAUUAACCAUGUCCCAUUC